UACGUAGGAGGCGAGCGUUGUCCGGAAUCAUUGGGCGUAAAGCGCGCGUAGGUGGCCACAUAAGUCCGUUGUGAAAGUCAAAGGCUCAACCUUUGAAAGCCGAUGGAUACUGUGUGGCUAGAGUACGGAAGAGGCGAGUGGAAUUCCUGGUGUAGCGGUGGAAUGCGCAGAUAUCAGGAGGAACACCAAUAGCGAAGGCAGCUCGCUGGGACGUUACUGACACUGAGGCGCGAAAGCCAGGGGAGCAAACGGG
rnacentral:rRNA from 1 species